CUUUCUUUGCUGGCGACCGGCGCACGGGUGAGUAACACGUAUCCAACCUGCCCUUUACUCGGGGAUAGCCUUUCGAAAGAAAGAUUAAUACCCGAUAGCAUAAUGAUUCCGCAUGGUUUCAUUAUUAAAGGAUUCCGGUAAAGGAUGGGGAUGCGUUCCAUUAGGUUGUUGGUGAGGUAACGGCUCACCAAGCCUUCGAUGGAUAGGGGUUCUGAGAGGGAGGUCCCCCACAUUGGAACUGAGACACGGUCCAA
rnacentral:rRNA from 1 species